GGCAAAGGGAGAUUAGAUGCACAGAAGGAGGCAACGUGACCAUGGAGACAAAAAUUGGAGUGAUGCAGCCACAAACAAGAUUGCGUGCAGCCACCUGAAACUGAAAGAGGUAGCUUUUGUUUCAUCUAAAGCAUGAAGGAACAUUCUUCACAUCCACAGAAAACACAUGCACAUAUACAUCUAUUCGUAAGAUUGUCUGCCCUUUAGAUGGUUCCUCUCUUCCUGGGAGGUGGAGUGUCAGCAUUUGGUUGCUGAAUUAAAAGCAGCUCCAAGUUUGCCUCAAGAGAGCCAUUCCUCAUCUGCCUGUGCUGCAGUGCUGGGCUGGGCUGUGUGAGCACAUGAGGUACAGUAUUCACACAUUUGUGACCCAACUUCCUCAUCUUCCAUCUCUACCAAACGUCUCAAGAAGAAAUAAUAAAUUUGAUUGUCAAGGGAAGAUGAAAAGGAACCAUCAGCAACCUUUUCCUGAACCACCUCAAACUUUUAGGGCAUACCCUUGUGCAAGCUGUAUUGGCAUGAACUUGUUCCUUUACAUUUCUAUCUGGCCUCAACUCCCUUUGACCAUGGAACUUUCUGACCACUACUCUGAGAAGUAGGAGGGACAACCAUCAAGAAGAAGUGCAGAGGUAAUAAUGUCAGUGUGUGCUUGGGGAUGUGGGCAGGGGGAGCAGAUGGGAAGGAAAAGCCUUAAUUUAUUUCAGCUCACACCUGUCAGAAUGGUUAACAUCAAUAAAUCAACAAGCAACAAGUUUUGGUGAGGAUGAGGAACAAGGGGUACCUUUGUGCACUGUUAGUGGGAAUGCAGAUUGGUGCAUUCCCACUACAAAGGUUCCUCAAAAUUAAAAAAGUAAAAUAAAAAUAGAACUACCUUUUGACCCAGCAACUCCCCUUCUGGGUAUAUAUAUCUGGAAAAAAAUAUAUACUAAGCCAAAAAGAUAUGUGCAUAUACAUCCCUACGUUCAUUGCAGUGUUGUUUCCAAUAGCCAAGAUAGGGAAAUAAUCUAAGUGCCUAUCAGUAGACAAGGGGAUAAAGAAAUGGCACAUAUUUAAUCACACACAUCACUAUAGAGAAGUGAGAGAAAUGGGAGAUUAAUGUUAAAAGCAUCCUGGGCCUGUCUCCUAGCAGUUAAAUAUGGACUUAAAAAAACAACCUUACAGUAUAAAGAAAUUAUGCCAAACAAGUACAUUUGCUUUAAGAUCCCUAAAUAAAAGAUUCAGUCAAAACCGGUUUGGCUCAGUGGAUAGAGUGCUGGCCUGCGGACUCAAGGAUCCCAGGUUCGAUUCCAG